GGAGCUUGCUCCUCUGAUUUAGCGGCGGACGGGUGAGUAACACGUGGGUAAUCUGCCUGUAAGACGGGGAUAACUCCGGGAAACCGGGGCUAAUACCGGAUAAUAAGAGAAGAAGCAUUUCUUCUUUUUGAAAGUCGGUUUCGGCUGACACUUACAGAUGAGCCCGCGGCGCAUUAGCUAGUUGGUGAGGUAACGGCUCACCAAGGCGACGAUGCGUAGCCGACCUGAGAGGGUGAUCGGCCACACUGGGACUGAGACACGGCCCAGACUCCUACGGGAGGCAGCAGUAGGGAAUCUUCGGCAAUGGGCGAAAGCCUGACCGAGCAACGCCGCGUGAGCGAUGAAGGCCUUCGGGUCGUAAAGCUCUGUUGUUAGAGAAGAACAAGUACGAGAGUAACUGCUCGUACCUUGACGGUACCUAACCAGAAAGCCACGGCUAACUACGUGCCAGCAGCCGCGGUAAUACGUAGGUGGCAAGCGUUAUCCGGAAUUAUUGGGCGUAAAGCGCGCGCAGGCGGUCUCUUAAGUCUGAUGUGAAAGCCCACGGCUCAACCGUGGAGGGUCAUUGGAAACUGGGAGACUUGAGUGCAGGAGAGAAAAGUGGAAUUCCACGUGUAGCG
rnacentral:rRNA from 1 species